GAAAGCUUAAUAGUUAAGAAAUGACACAUGGACCAAUAAUAAGGUGACAUGUGUCAAGUUUAUAUUCAUUAAUUAUUUAACUUUAAAAUAAACAUAAAAUCAGCCAAUUCUCUUUCAUAUGGCCGGCCAAACAAAGAAAAAGGAAGAACAAUAGGAGGAAAGGAAAAAAACAAGAAACCUAGGUGGGAAAAUUAAAGGAAAAUUGGUGGAUUUCAAGGAAUCAAGCAAUCAAAGGUAAAAUUUCUUGAUUUUGACUUGUGAUCUACCUUUCCCAUGCUUUUCUCCUUAUUUUUCAUGGUUAGAUUUUAUGUUUUCAUGGUGAAUUCAUGGCUGCCCAAAUGGGUAUGGAGAGAGAAUGAAGUUAGAUUAAUUUGAUUUUCAGUUAUGUUAGUGUUUUUAGUUAGUUUAGCAUAUUUAGGAACAAAACAACAAGAAAAGAAUUCAUUUUCCUCCAUUACCAUUAUUGGCCAAAUUUUCUAGGGGAAUAUUGGCUGCUGAUCUUGAUGUUUAUUUGAGGAAUUAUGAUGAAUAAUGAUGAAUUAUGCGCCUAGAAAAAUAAUGAGAAUUUUUGGAGCAAAAUUACGAAUUUUUACCCACUAGGGGUAUUUUCGUAAUUUACUAUCGAGACAGAUAAAUUGAAUCUCAUUCACAGUCACUAAGGUAAUGUAGGUAUAAUUGGAGUGUAGAAAGUGAGAAGAAUUGAUUUGGAGUUAAAUUGGAGAUAAUAGGUCGAAUUAGGUCAGCACCGCAUUUAAGCGGUAGUCGGAUAAGUUGCAUGUCAUAUUAUGCAUAUACACCGAGCCUGAAUUGAUUUAUAAUGGUCAAGCAUUAAUGUGGUGAAUUAUGUAUUGUACAUUGUGGAUAGGUGGUGAGCAAAUUACACUGGUAAAAGUAUAGAGAUUGUGC
rnacentral:lncRNA from 1 species